UGUGUCGGUUUGAUCGGGAUACUCAUCAAUAAAAAAAUGAAACCGAGAAGACUUCUCUUGCUAAUGGCGGGCCACAUAAAUCCUUCGGGACUAAGCUGUAAAGCCGGUGGAUUACAAAGGCGGAGAGCUCUCAAAUCUUAUCAAGUUCGGAGUUUCAUCACAUCAUCGAGCAAC
rnacentral:sRNA from 1 species